GACGAACGCUGGCGGCGUGCCUAAUACAUGCAAGUAGAACGCAGUUGCGAACGGGUGAGUAACGCGUAGGUACCUGCCUCAUAGCGGGGGAUAACUAUUGGAAACACUAGCUAAUACCGCAUACUGUGAGAUUGACCUGCGGUGUAUUAGCUCGUUGGUGAGGUAAAGGCUCACCAAGGCGACGAUCCAUAGCCGACAUGGGAGGGGGAGCGGCCAAACUGGGACUGAGACAAGGCCCAGACCCCUACGGGAGGAAGCAGGAGUGAAUCUUCGGCAAUGGACGGAAGUCUGACCGAGUAACGCCGCGGGAGUGAAGAAGGUUUUCGGAUCGGAAAGCUCGGUUGUUAGAGAAGCGGGAACUAACCAGAAAGGGACGGCUAACUACGUGCCAGCAGCCGCGGUAAUUC
rnacentral:rRNA from 1 species